AUUGAACGCUGGCGGCAUGCCUUACACAUGCAAGUCGAACGGUAACAGGUCUUCGGAUGCUGACGAGUGGCGAACGGGUGAGUAAUACAUCGGAACGUGCCCGAUCGUGGGGGAUAACGGAGCGAAAGCUUUGCUAAUACCGCAUACGAUCUACGGAUGAAAGCAGGGGACCGCAAGGCCUUGCGCGGACGGAGCGGCCGAUGGCAGAUUAGGUAGUUGGUGGGAUAAAAGCUUACCAAGCCGACGAUCUGUAGCUGGUCUGAGAGGACGACCAGCCACACUGGGACUGAGACACGGCCCAGACUCCUACGGGAGGCAGCAGUGGGGAAUUUUGGACAAUGGGCGAAAGCCUGAUCCAGCCAUGCCGCGUGCAGGAUGAAGGCCUUCGGGUUGUAAACUGCUUUUGUACGGAACGAAAAGCCUCUUUCUAAUAAAGAGAGGUCAUGACGGUACCGUAAGAAUAAGCACCGGUUAACUACGUGCCAGCCGCCGCAGUAAUAC
rnacentral:rRNA from 1 species